AUACGUAGGUGGCAAGCGUUGUCGGGAUUUAUUGGGCGUAAAGCGAGCGCAGGCGGUUUCUUAAGUCUGAUGUGAAAGCCCCCGGCUCAACCGGGGAGGGUCAUUGGAAACUGGGAGACUUGAGUGCAGAAGAGGAGCGUGGAAUUCCAUGUGUAGCGGUGAAAUGCGUAGAUAUAUGGAGGAACACCAGUGGCGAAGGCGGCUCUCUGGUCUGUAACUGACGCUGAGGCUCGAAAGCGUGGGGAGCAAACAGGAUUAGAUACCCUGGUAGUCCACGCCGUAAACGAUGAGUGCUAAGUGUUGGAGGGUUUCCGCCCUUCAGUGCUGCAGCAAACGCAUUAAGCACUCCGCCUGGGGAGUACGACCGCAAGGUUGAAACUCAAAUGAAUUGACGGGG
rnacentral:rRNA from 1 species